CAAGUCGAACGCGAAAGCCCCUUCGGGGGCAAGUAGAGUGGCGCACGGGUGAGUAACACGUAGGUAAUCUACCUUCGGAUGGGGAAUAACAACCGGAAACGGUUGCUAAUACCGCAUAAUGCAGCGGCACCUAAUGGUGACAGUUGUUAAAGCGGGGGAUCGCAAGACCUCGCGUCUGAAGAGGAGCCUGCGGCGGAUUAGCUAGUUGGUAGGGUAACGGCCUACCAAGGCGACGAUCCGUAGCCGGCCUGAGAGGGCGGUCGGCCACACUGACACUGACAUACGGGUCAGACUCCUACGGGAGGCAGCAGUCGGGAAUUUUGGGCAAUGGGCGAAAGCCUGACCCAGCAACGCCGCGUGAAGGAUGAAAUCCCUCGGGAUGUAAACUUCGCAAGAACGGGAAGAAUAAGUCUGCGCGAACAUCGCAGGCGAUGACGGUACCGUUUGUAAGCUCCGGCUAACUCCGUGCCAGCAGCCGCGGUAAUACGGGGGGAGCAAGCGUUGUUCGGAUUUACUGGGCGUAAAGGGCGCGUAGGCGGCCACUGCAAGUCAAUUGUGAAAUCUCCGGGCUUAACUCGGAAAGGUCAACUGAUACUGCAGGGCUAGAGUGCGGAAGGGGCAACUGGAAUUCUCGGUGUAGCGGUGAAAUGCGUAGAUAUCGAGAGGAACACCUGCGGCGAAGGCGGGUUGCUGGGCCGACACUGACGCUGAGUGCGCGAAAGCUAGGGGAGCGAACGGGAUUAGAUACCCCGGUAGUCCUAGCCUUAAACGAUGAAUGCUUGGUGUCUGGGGUUUUAUA
rnacentral:rRNA from 1 species